rnacentral:ncRNA from 1 species
UCCGCAGCAGGUCUCUAAGAUGAACAUCCUCUAGUCGAUUGAGCAAUGGUGGAGCGUUGUGUCUGGUUAAUUCCGAUAACGAACGAGACUCUAGCCUACUAAAUAGGUGCAUGGUUCUCUCCAUCUUGCACCCUUCUUAGAGGGACAAGCGGCUCCUAGCCACAUGAAACAGAGCAAUAACAGGUCUUGAUGCUUUUACAUGUCCGGGGCCACACACGCGCUACACUGAAGGAAGCAGCGUGUUUUUAUCCCUGUCUGUUAAGACAGUAAACUUAGAAAAAAGUGACUUGAGCAAAUGCAGAGG